CGUUCGGCCACGGGCCACGCCGCGUCGGGGACGCGGUCAUAGUCGACGACGAUGACGGCGGCACCCGUGCGGUCGGCGAGCGUCCGCGCCAGGCGUUCGUGCGUCGCAAAGUCGCCAUAGGCUCCGUGCACGUAGACGAUGCCGGGCAAGAGGGCGCAGCCUUCGGGAUCGGCCCACGGGGCGCGCACGACGUGUACGGUCACGGCGCACUGGGCAUCAUCCUCGACGGGCACGACGGCGGGCACGACCGCUGCCGGCGCCAACCUCAGCGGAUGGUAGACGGCGCGUUGCGCCUCGUCCAAGAGGCACCGACCGUGGCGCAGGUCCUGCAGCGCCCUCGUGCCGCCAAAGGAUUCGACGAGGCGUGCCGCUGUUGGGUCGAGCGGCGGCCGCGCUGUCAGCGGCGGUUUCUGCGUUGCCUGUACCGCCGACGGUCGACUUGACGAUGAACCCAUGUGUGUGUAAACAAAAAUUAUGCC
rnacentral:lncRNA from 1 species